AUGUCCGGACAGGCCUCGGGCACCCCUCAACCCCCACCUCCCACACUCCGUCAGCGGCACCCGGCAAGCGGCUUUCGCCGGCUCCUCGACGCGCCGCUUCCGCCCCACGGUUCCUCCUCCGGGCCGCCCUCUCCCGGCAUGCGCCGGCGCCGGAAGCGGCUGACGACAAUAACAAACAUCGGCGGCGGCUGCGCCUGGGCUCCCCGGUCCCGCUCCCCCCGGCCGGCCCCACGUCGCCCGCCCCUCCGCCGCCGCUCCCUGCCCUCGCCGUCCACCCGAGCGCAGCGCCUGCCGAGGCGGCCCGCGCUCCCGCCGCGGGGCCUGGCCGCGCCGGGAGGGGGCUCCGCCGCCGCAGGAUGCGCGGGGCCGCCGCCGCCGGACCCUCGGGUGAGUGGCGCCGGGGGAGGCGCGGGCCCCUCCGCGGCCCCGCUCCGGCUCUUCCCCGCCCGCCGCGGCAGCGGGGAGUCCGGGGGGGGGCUGCCGGUGGGGCUCCUUUAUCGGGGCUGUCGCGAGGGGCGGUGGUUCAGGGGUUGGCCGCGGGGUGGGCGGUGGAGCGCAGGGGGCCGGGGGCGGAGCGCGGCCCGGCGCUGGCUGCGGCCCCGGGGCGGCGGGGGAACCCGCGGGGCGGCGGCGCCCGGCAGGCUGCGGGCGGGCCGGGGCGCUCCCUGCCCGCGCUGCGCUGCCAGGGGAGGGCUGCGCGGCGAAGUUACUCCGGGGAAUGACUCAGCCCGCGCCUUCGGCCGGGCGCAGCGUGCAGCAGCGCCGUGUUUGCCGGUGCGCUGCCGCUGUCUCCAGUGUUUACUUAUCGCUGCUCCCGAGGAAGCGCGUGCCGAGCUUUCCCAUUGUUUUCUCAUUGCUGCUUGUGAGCGUGCUGUCAGGCGGCUCUGCGGAGCUGAGCUGCUGCUCGUCCUCAGGGCCCCCGGAGUUCUGAGUGGCUGCUGGCUGAGGUUAAAAGGGCGAGUGGGAGAACUGCAGGAACGGGUCCUUGUGACGCCUCAACUUUAUCUAGAGAUGAAAAAAAUAGAUUGUGCCUGGAACCAAGAUACUCAGGAACAACCUCAAAAUGUUAGCUUUUCCUCUCCUUUAGCCAUAGUUGUCUCAGCCUUUUUUUUUUUUUUUGAGGAAAAACUCUUUUUGUCUGAAGUAAUGAAGAGGGAUGUUCUGUCAAUGAGCCAGUCGAUGAGUUCACAUUGA
rnacentral:lncRNA from 1 species